rnacentral:lncRNA from 1 species
CUCUGAACAUCCUAGAACUUGACAGUGCCCUGAGCCACUGGGUGAUGCUCUUGGAAAUUUUUAAGCUAAAGAGUUAGAGAAAUCCAAAGGAAUACCACCAGCAAAAGUACCCACAAUGGACCGCUCUCGACUCUAUCUCCCCGCUAAGGUUGUCUGUGGAAGAGUUGGUCAGUAUCGAAGAUUCCAGCAACCCACGAAGAAAACUGGCUCAUUCAGAAAAAGAGGAAUUGAAAGAUGGCACAGAGCCGUGUCUACUGACUUAGUAAGACAAAAUGUUUUGGUCCCCAAAGAGGAAUCAUCCAGUGAAAGUGACACAGGAUUCCAGGAAAGCCAGCAAAACCAGGGGAAAAAAUGGAUGAAGAAAGUGCGGACUGCUUUUGGAAGAAUGCUGCCGCACACGCACAGAAACAAGCCAGGGGGCACCAGCAGGGAGGCCUCCGCCCGCCCCCCUAGGACGCCCCUGGCACACGCUCGGCGCCUGCUCCCCAGGAUGGCCCAGGAGCUUCCGUCGCCCAGGCUGUUCCCCACACCGAGAGUGCGAAGGCUCUCACAGGGCGCAACCAUACAACUGGAUGUUGUAGAAGCAGAGACUGAGGAGAUAACUGGACGAAACAUGUUCCUCAGGGCCCGGAGAACCACCAAGCGGUUAUCUGUGACAUCUCUGCCAUCAGGGCUGCACAAGGUAUCAUAUUCAUCAAAAAAGAGACCAUAUUUUCCAGUGCUUAAAAAAAAGAAACGUGGCAUGGAAAGCAUCCUCCAAAAAUCAGAUCUGACAGUGGGAAAGCUGCAAGUGCAGGUAGUGGACAAAGGCUUUCGCUCUGGGGUCUCGGAAGCAGCAGAGGACCAGGCGUAAUGGAAUCCAUGGCCCCGCCAGGCAGACAGAUGUGGGACAUAACUGACAAGUAGCAUUAGGAACUAGUGUUGUGGGGGUGCUCUGAAAGUGGCCGAAGGCUGCUGAGGGGCACCGGGGAUGAUGCUGCAGGCCCAGUAGCUAGUAAGUGAAUUCCACUGGAAUGAAAGCCUACACACACAGGCUUCUUUUGAGGAGAGAUGAGAUAGUCUAUCGCUGGGUAGUAAAUAUAUUACUUGCUAUGACUUGAAUUAGAAUAAAUACUACUCUGAGACCUGUAACAUGCCCC